rnacentral:rRNA from 1 species
UACGUAGGGUGCAAGCGUUGUCCGGAAUUAUUGGGCGUAAAGAGCUCGUAGGCGGUGUGUCGCGUCGGCUGUGAAAACCCGCGGCUUAACCGUGGGCUUGCAGCCGAUACGGGCGGGCUGGAGUUCGGUAGGGGAGACUGGAAUUCCUGGUGUAGCGGUGAAAUGCGCAGAUAUCAGGAGGAACACCGGUGGCGAAGGCGGGUCUCUGGGCCGAUACUGACGCUGAGGAGCGAAAGCGUGGGGAGCGAACAGG